rnacentral:rRNA from 12 species
GACGUUGAUAGGCCGGGUGUGUAAGCGCAGCGAUGCGUUGAGCUAACCGGUACUAAUGAACCGUGAGGCUUAACCUU